UCAGAAUUCUUUCUUUCAGCAUACAGGUUUUACUAAUAGAGUCUGGCUAGAGCUGGGAGAACAAAAUUCCACCCUCUGAGAGUUUGUGACCUCACAGUGGCUGUGGAUCCCCGAGGCCCGAGGUUCUUACCUGGAGGAGAAGGAGUCGAGGCUGCCCACACAGAGUGUUCGGAGGAGAAGGGAGAAGCAAGCUCCAGAGGACUCUUAGAAGGGGCUCCACCCUCAUGACCUGAUCACCCCCGAAAGAUCCUGCAACUCCAUGCUAGGAGCUCGCCAGGCCACUUCGGAUCUGCGCUCUUGGCCGCUUCCAAGGCCUCCAGUCUCCUUUAACCGGGGAAACCAAGGACCGCGGAGGGUCCUCUGACUGUUGACUCGCGCGUUCCAAUCUGCAUCCUUUCAAGUUGAUGCGCCCAGGACCCAAGGACGCAGCACUGGGACUCCGGUGUGGCGCCUUGCAGUGACACCCCAUCCCCAGGGCUUGCUUGGGCCUUGGCUGCGAGGCCCUCUUGACACCACGAAGGAUGACGAAGCUGGUCUGCGGCAGCCAACGCCCCUCCCCCCCUACUCUUCGCACUCGCUGGUGGGCAUCACGGCCCAGGAAGCAGGAGUCGAGAACUGACACCUUGGUGAAGAGGGGCCAUGAGAGGCAUCUCCAUCCUGCCAGGAAGCUGCUGGACCCCAGCGCUCCCACGG